rnacentral:lncRNA from 1 species
AUGUUCAAGAGGCUACGCUGUACCACAGUGCCCGUUUCGCCAGGGUACCCCAGAGUGGGCUCACACCGAACCUGUGGAAUGGGGGGGGGGGUCAUGGGACGAUUCUCAAGGCUGGUGGAAAAGCUCCUUUCCAGCACAAGGCGUGAGUCUGACUGGGGCUCAUGUCCACCCUGGAUGCUCAUGAAUUCAGGCCAGAUGCUGCCUCUGUUCUCCCACCUUACAGAGGGGUGGACACACAUCUAAAUAGCACUUGUUACCUAGUGUUGCUACCUUUCACGAGGCUGGGAAGGCAGAAGGGCUUGCUCACGGCCAAGGGAACUCCCACCCGAGGUCUCUUCCUGACCCCCUGACACCUGCACCGCUUCCUCAGGGUGUUCUGUCAGUGCCCUUUGAAUCCUUCAGUUUAGUGAAGUAAUUUCAGUCACAAUCUAGUCACCGGAUCCAAGUCCAUCCUCUAUAUAGAGGCGAGCACUCCCUGGUCACCACUGCACCACCAGCUCCUUGUCAAAGUUUCUCAGCCUUGUCUCCGUCAGCCUGGGUGCUACACUCACAUUAGUAUCUAACGACUGACCAGUUCCCAUGCUCUUGACUGAGUAACAGUGUGGCUUCGUGAUCCCAGGCGGACGCUGACCCCAGCCCCACCCGCUCGUGCAUAUACACACAGCGUCUACUUCCCAACACUGGCCUUGGGUCAAGGGCUUCCUGGCUGCCCCCUUCACUCAGUUUUGCUUUUUCAGGGUAGCUUUCUUUGGCCAUGCUGCACAGCUUGCAGUUUCUUAGUUCCCUAACCAGGGAUCAAACGUGUGCCCCCUGCAGUGGACAUGGGGAGCCCUAACCACUGACCAGGUAAUUGCCAAAAGUAGCUUAUUUUCUCAUGUAGUUCUAAAAGCAUAUUUUGGCUCAAAUAAAAUUUUUGGUUCCACUUAAUGGCAAUCAAAAGAAAGUUAUAUUUCUUCAGCCGGAGAUAUUAGAAGGCUCUUCACCUUUUGUUACCCAGACACUGCAGCCAACUCCUGUUUUUAACAUGCUCAAUUUUCAAAAACAUAAACACAUGACUAGACAAAAUCAACUGAACCCCUAUAUCUUAUGAGUGGCUGCUAAGCUAAUUCUCAGGGUCAUUAGCCAACUGGAACCAUCUUUGAAUCCAAGCAGUUUUACCAGCUUUUAUUAUAAACACCAACACAUUUCAAGUUUCCUCUUUUUGAUCACAAAUAUAGGGCUUUCAUCUUCUUUUAAGUAGACAGCACGUGAGAUACCGUGUCAGGGCUUUCCAGCUCACACAGAAACUUCCUUGCGCCAAAUGCCGGGUUAGCAUCCAGACCACACCCUCGGCAGCAUCCUUUGGCAACAAGAUUGCAUGGGACUUCCAAGAGGAUGAGGUUGGUACAGAGCUUGGGACUCCAGGAUGACCUAAGAGACUCCCCACUGGCCAGGUUAAAGGGCUGUGCAGCUGGAGUGUGGGCCUGAAGCUGCUUCUCCAGGGCCCAGAAGGCCCAUACUUCUUGUGUGAACACAGACAGCCCAGGGUGCUCUCAUCGCUGCAGAAGGCAACCAG